AGCAGCUACAUGCAGAAGCAAUGGCAAAUGAUCCCUGCAGAUAAUUUAUGGUCCGUUUGGUGAGCUUCAAGGCAAUUUACCCUCCAGAAGCCCAGCCACAUCCAGCAGACAUCAUUGGCUCCCUGGUCUCCUGCAUUCACAGCAUCAUCUUUCCUGACCUUUCCUGCUCUCUUCCAACAGUUCAUCUUUGUGAUUAAGUGCUGAUCUAGCUCCCAGUUGCUGAAGACAGAAACCCUGAAGACAAAAAGCUGUUAAUGAAGAAAUUAGCUCUACAAUUGAUCCUAGAGCCAUGCUUAAUUGCACACGAUAGCUCUGUCUAUUGAACUGCCACAGUUGCUUAGUAAUUAAUAGCAUCUUCAUAUCACAGGCUAUAAAACACCCUGUGGAUUUCUGCACUGCAUUCCCAUUUUGUCUUGCUGUAUCACUAACAUCAUACCAUCCCUCUGGAAGGAGGUUGUGAGAUUAAACCUGUACAUAGCCACUGUAUCUUUUCCAGAAGAAUGUAAUAGUAGCCAAAGAAUCCACCUUUUGUGUACUGUUUGUCAGAGGGACAACAUGAAAGCAGAACACACCUCCUUGCCACUUGCCCUUUAACCCCUCCUAAUGAACCUUUCAUAUGCUAAUAAUGCUAAGGACCUAAAUAAAGAAAACAAAUUUAUAAAGGGUUGAAACCUA
rnacentral:lncRNA from 1 species